UGCAGAGUAGUGUAAAGGUAACAUGAAAGACUCAUGAUCUUAAGAUGGCUGUUCGACUCAGUCCUCUGCAC